rnacentral:rRNA from 1 species
CCGGUUGAUCCUGCCGGAGGCUACUGCUAUUGGGAUUCGAUUAAGCCAUGCGAGUCGAUUGCUCUUCGGAGCAAGGCAGACGGCUCAGUAACACGUGGAUAAUCUGCCCUUAGGUGGAGGAUAAUCCCGAGAAAUUGGGCAUAAUACUCCAUAGUUCUAAUAUGCUGGAAUGCUUUUAGAACGAAAGCUACAGCGCCUAAGGAUGAGUCUGCGCACUAUCAGGUUGUAGUGAGUGUAACGUCCUCACUAGCCUAUUACGGUUACGGGUCGUGAGAGCGAUUGCCCGGAGAUGGACUCUGAGACACGAGUCCAGGUCCUACGGGACGCAGCAGGCGCGAAAACUUCACAAUGCUGGCAACAGCGAUGAGGGAAUCCCAAGUGCUAACACAUUGUGUUAGCUGUUUAUCUGUCUAAAAAACAGGUAGAGUAAGGGCUGGGUAAGACCGGUGCCAGCCGCCGCGGUAAUACCGGCAGCUCAAGUGGUAGCCGCUUUUAUUGGGCCUAAAGCGUCCGUAGCCGGUCUGGUAAACCCUUGGGUAAAUCGUAUAGCUUAACUAUACGAAUUCCGAGGAGACUGCCAGACUUGAGACCGGGGGAGGUCGGAGGUACUCCUAGGGUAGGGGUGAAAUCUUAUAAUCCUAGGGGGACCGCCAGUGGCGAAGGCGUCCGACUAGAACGGCUCUGACGGUAAGGGACGAAACCCUGGGGCACAAACCGGAUUAGAUACCCGGGUAGUCCAGGGCGUAAACGCUGCNGGCUUGGUGUUGGGGGUCCCGCGAGGGCGUCCAGUGCCGGAGAGAAGUUGUUAAGCCUGCCGCCUGGGGAGUACGGCCGCAAGGUUGAAACUUAAAGGAAUUGGCGGGGGAGCACAGCAACGGGUGGAGCGUGCGGUUUAAUUGGAUUCAACGCCGGAAAACUCACCGGAGGCGACGGUUACAUGAAGGCCAAGCUGAUGACUUUGCCAGAUUUUCCGAGAGGUGGUGCAUGGCCGUCGUCAGUUCGUACCGCAAGGCGUUCUGUUAAGUCAGACAACGAACGAGACCCCUACCAUUAUUUACCAACAGAUGGUCCGCCAUCUGCGCACAAUAAUGGGACCGCUGGCGCUAAGCCAGAGGAAGGUGGGGGCAACGGUAGGUCAGUAUGCCCUGAAUCCUCCGGGCUACACGCGCGCUACAAAGGAUAGGACAAUGGGUUGCGAUACCGAGAGGUAAAGCUAAUCCCGAAACCUAUUCGUAGUUCGGAUUGAGGAUUGUAACUCAUCCUCAUGAAGCUGGAAUCCGUAGUAAUCGCGGGUCAACAUCCCGCGGUGAAUAUGCCCCUGCUCCUUGCACACACCGCCCGU